rnacentral:rRNA from 1 species
UACGAAGGGGGCUAGCGUUGUUCGGAAUACUGGGCGUAAAGCGCGCGCAGGCGGUCUUCCAAGUCAGUGGUGAAAGCCCGGAGCUCAACUCCGGAACUGCCAUUGAAACUGUUAGACUUGAGGAUGAGAGAGGUGAGUGGAAUUCCCAGUGUAGAGGUGAAAUUCGUAGAUAUUGGGAAGAACACCGGUGGCGAAGGCGGCUCACUGGCUCAUUUCUGACGCUCAGGCGCGACAGCGUGGGGAUCAAACAGG